AAAACGGCCCUUUUCAGGGCCACCAAAUUUAUUUGAUGCCAAUUCG
rfam:Macrostomum lignano uti_cns_0005375, whole genome shotgun sequence.